rnacentral:rRNA from 1 species
CACGGGGGGAGCAAGCGUUGUUCGGAAUUACUGGGCGUAAAGGGCGUGUAGGCGGUUAGGUAAGUGGGAUGUGAAAUGCCUCGGCUCACCCGAGGAUCUGCAUCCCAAACUGCCAGACUUGAGUAUGGGAGAGGAUGAGGGAAUUCCUGGUGUAGCGGUGAAAUGCGUAGAUAUCGGGAGGAACACCAGUGGCGAAGGCGACUUUCUGGACGGUGUCUGACGCUGAGGCGCGAAAGCCAGGGAAGUGAACGGG